rnacentral:lncRNA from 1 species
ACAAUAAUAUUUCAUAUUUAAUAUAUGUACUCUGCAGAACCUAAACAGUAAUUCAUCACAUAAUCUUCAAAUAGAAAAAAAGUAGCAGAAGGAGAAAAUACUUUAAACAUCACAGAUUGAAUAAACAUUUAAAACAUUCAAACCAUUCUACCAGUGACAUUCAUUAGCUUAUAUUUAUUCAUGAAAUUAGUCAAGAGUUACACAAAAUCUAGGAACGUACCUAAACUGCAAAAAACAGUAACGAAGAACAUCAUACACAAGUCGGAAAAAUCGGAGAGUAAUCAGCUAACUCAGAUACAACAGCUUCAACAAUGAACAACAGUGAUCUCGACCUUGACAAACCCUUAGAUGCCCAGAUUUUCAAAAGAAAACUACUCUGUUCUCGGCUUUCCAAUCCAAUUUUAGAAUUUUCGCUUCUUUCCUUUAACUUCUUCAGCCAGAUCUUCAAGGGCGUGCACGAAUAUGGGUUAAAAAAAAGAAAGAAGAAUGGGAGGGACAUGAGUUUUUGCUGCUUCUGAUUUUUUUUGUGAAGAAGAUCCGAAAAUGAAGGGGUUCCUCUUUUGGCAAAGCUGUGCAGCUUUAUUGUAUUAGAGUGUGAUUUGUAUAUUUGUGUAGAUAGUAUAAUAUGAGAUAGAGAUUAGCUUAGGGGUAUGGGCAUAUACGGGCUAGACAAUAAACUUGAG